CCACAUUUCUCUCUUCGUUCAUUUUCUAUCUCCGUCUAUCUACCCAAACAAUCUUUUGUCUCUCUCUCUAACUCAGUAUCUCUUAGUUAUCUUCUUUCACUUGAUUCUAAGAAAUCAUGAAUCUAACUUCUGUUCUCAGCAAGAUGAAUCGUGAGCCUAGAUCAAAAGCAACCCAAUCUUUCAGCAGAAAUUAAAAACCCUAACCCAUGUAUCCGCAGAAAUCAAAGAAAACAUUGUAACCUAAGAUCUACUUGAUUUGCUCCCGAAAUCAUCAGGUAAGGUGUUUCAUUUCUACUUUUCCCUACAAGAGAACUCCUCCAGUAGGUUGAAGAUCUCUUCACCUAGAGUAAGAAACAAAACCCCUAAAUCUAAUUCUGAACAUAACUACUCCAUAAUUCUAUUUUUGAUCUUUAACCCUAACUGAUGGGUUUUUUUUGUUGUUGAAGAAAUCGUCUGCAACUUCAUGAAGAAGGCUUUAGCCGUGUCAUAGAUUACUAUUAGUUUCAUGAUUCUCAUGGUAUUGCUCAAGUUAACAGGUCACUAGAGUUUCCAUACAGAGAGAUGAUACUGAACUUGUUGGUGUUAAACAAUCCAUUCAUUACUACCGAUUACAUGGUAUAAUUAUGUUUUCUCUUGAAUAAUCAAUGAUUUCUAUAUAUGUUUGGUUUACAGAUGUACUUAAGAUACUUGUCAGUCUAUUUGCUUUGUAGAUCUAUUUUUAUUUAUAAAUUUUAGCAGAUGACAGUUGUUUGAUGUAGUUCUUGUUUGUAUUAAGGUGGGUUUAGGUUUAUGAGUAAUGAAGCUUAAUUUGUUUUGUGUCUGAUGAGGAAUUUUAGAUUGUUCUGUAUCCAGGGUUUGUAUUGGGAUAAAAUUUUCACUAGUGGCACUGGCAACUUUCCGUCAUCUUUAUGUGCAUCCUUCAGGAACAGUUACACAAGGACUUGUAUCUGCUAUUGGUGGACUAUAACCAAAGUGUAGUUUCAUUCCGAAGAUGAGCUGGUUCAUGCUUAUAGUGAGCUUAAAAUUGUCUAGGACAUGAAUAGUUUUACAUACUCAAUCUCAAUAUCUAGGACAUGAAUGGACAAGUUUGAGAUACGUCUCUUGAGAGAAAAACUUAUUUUAGCUGUCAAAAUUUUGAGACUAAUGCUUCUCAUGUUAAACUUUAUUAUAGGAAUGCUUAUUUGUUCUGGUUUAUGCUGAUUCUGAUGAAGUGUCUGUUGUAGCAACACAUGAUUAUAUUGAAUGUUCCCUUAUGCUGGGUAAGAAAGAACUCAAAGUGUAGCUUUCUGAAAAUCAUGUUUGGCAUGGUUAGGUAUGGCUAUUAAGUGUUACCAGUUGCAUUUACUAAUGUGUGCUCUAUUGAUACAGGGUAGGUUCCAACGGAAUCAUACAGUUUGGAUGUAAACCUGACUAUGAAAUGAGAUGCAGUAACGAGAUGUGCUUGGGUUUUUGUUUUAUUCUUUUCCUAACAGUUUCAAAUUUGUCGUAAUAUUUGUUGUCGAUGCCCUUGAAAGGUACACCCAGCUUUCCAGCCAUCUCGUUCACAAAACUAACAAACCUGGAAUUUUGUUCGUUGGUUCCAUCCAAGUGAUCUUAAAAUGAAAUAGCAAGCUCUUUGACCACCUAUCAGUUCCUGACUUAAACCAAGUGCAGCAAUUUUCUAUUUCAAGUGUUGCAGAUUCCUCUUCUUCAGAAACACCAACUGACAAGGACCAGAACUAUGGAAAAGCAUUCUGGUUACGUGAAACUUAACUCAUGUUUCCUUUGUAAUUUUUUACAGUGAAUUUCCUUUUAUAUUUAUGUAUGUUUCGUAAAUUAUUUUAUAUUUGGAACCGAUUGUAGUUUGUUAUUGUAAACUGAAAUCCAUGUGUUUAGUGAAUGUUUCGCAGAUA